rnacentral:rRNA from 1 species
UACGUAGGUGGCAAGCGUUGUUCGGAAUUACUGGGCGUAAAGCGCGUGUAGGCGGCUCUUCAAGUCAGACGUGAAAGCCCCGGGCUUAACUCGGGAACUGCGUUUGAUACUGUCGAGCUAGAGUCAGGUAGGGGAGAACGGAAUUCCUGGUGUAGCGGUGAAAUGCGCAGAUAUCAGGAGGAACACCGGUGGCGAAGGCGGUUCUCUGGGCAUUACCUGACGCUGAGGAGCGAAAGUGUGGGGAGCGAACAGG